UAUUAAGGAAGAACCUUACAUAAGCUUGACAUCAUCCUGACCUUUCCUUAAUUGGAGAUUUCCCUUUUGGGGACAAAGGUGACAGGUGGUGCAUGGUUGUCGUCAGCUCGUGUUGUGAGAUGUUGGGUUAAGUCCCGCAACGAGCGCAACCCUUGCCUUUAGUUGCCAGCAUUAAGUUGGGCACUUUAGAGGGACUGCCGAGGAUAAACCGGGAGGGAGGGUGGGGGAGACGUCAAAUCAUCAUGCCCCUUAUGGUUUAGGGUACCACACGGGUUCAAAUGGUGGUACCAGAGGGAGGCAAGCGGGAGGGGGAGCUAAUCCCUUAAAGCCAUUCUCAGUUCGGAUUGUAGGCUGAAACUCGCCUACAUGAAGCUGGAGUUACCUAGUAAUCGCGGAUCCCAGA
rnacentral:rRNA from 1 species